AUGCGUCCAACUGGGCAAAUAGAGUGCACACGCUGGGUUGCACCAAUGCAGGAUCCGCGGAGUAUAAAAGGGUCCAGAGGGUCGGAUGCGGCUCCCGAAGUGAGACGGCCACAAGAAAGGGACCGCGGACGUCAUCAUGACCACUUUGGGUAGGAUUCUACUCACGCUCCUCACGUGCCUCGCAGUGGCUCAGGUUGGAGAAAGCACGAAAUGGUACUCCAAGAAGAAGCACGUGGGGGCUCGGGUGUCGGUGACAACGGCGAAGACGGUGCGGCUGACGAAGAUGCUCCGCCCGGCGGCCGACAAGCUCAAGUUCAUCAAGCGGAAGUUGGAGCACAUCGACUCCAGCUCCAGCUCCAGCUCCAGCUCCUCCGAGGAGAGCAACGAGGGUAGCCGCGAGACCUUCUCCAACCGCGACGUCCGCUUCUUGCGCAACUACGGCGACGUCCGCCACUCCAGCUACGCCCGCUACCUCGCCCUCGUCGACGGCUACUACGGACAAGGCUACGGCGCCUACGCCUUCCUCCGGGCACUCAUGAUGCCUACGAUCAAAGGUACACCAUAUCAGCCUACAACACUGCAAGAAGCUUGCCUCCUUUCUGUGGAUUGGACCGUAGCUGGAAUGCCAGUCCGUUUGGCUACUCCAACGCCUUCCCGACAAAUUACCGCUACCCUCCCGGGAGAACAAAUCUCCGAGGCGUCAACUUUUCAAGAUACUCAAACAUUCCAAAUUCCUACUUGCGCUCACGGGACGUAAAAUACUCUUACAAACACCCAUCUCUCACCCGCUCAAACCAGUUUUACACCGCACCAUUUUACGGAGGCUCACCCUAUGGCCCUCGCGGUUAUACACCCUUCGGCUUGGACUACCCCGGUCCGUACGGAUGGGGCCCCGAUUCUCCCAGUGACUUCGGAAUUUACAUAAACAACUUCUUCGGGAACAGAUAUU
rnacentral:lncRNA from 1 species